rnacentral:rRNA from 1 species
UACGUAGGGUGCAAGCGUUAAUCGGAAUUACUGGGCGUAAAGCGUGCGCAGGCGGUUAUGUAAGACAGGUGUGAAAUCCCCGGGCUUAACCUGGGAACUGCAUUUGUGACUGCAUAGCUAGAGUACGGUAGAGGGGGAUGGAAUUCCGCGUGUAGCAGUGAAAUGCGUAGAUAUGCGGAGGAACACCGAUGGCGAAGGCAAUCCCCUGGACCUGUACUGACGCUCAUGCACGAAAGCGUGGGGAGCAAACGAGG